GUCGAUCGAGAUAAAAUUUUAAAUGAUAUCCUCAAGCAUGAUAUGGCAAGCACUAGUUGGAUGACCUUCUAUCUGAGGAUCAAGCUAGUUAGUCCUCAUGAUGUCUCUCCCCACAAUAAUAUUAUAAACGAAGCUCUUAAAAAAUCAAGCAAGAAUGCUUUCAGAUCAAUUUUGGGAAAGGGAAGCAGACAAGGAUACUUUAUUCUCACUCUUUACUGCCGAGGGGGACACUAGAUGCUUAUUAUGGCUAAUCCCAUUACUCCAAAAAUAUGAUAUCUCAAUCCCCUUAAUGGAGAACCAAG